UUGCUUCAGCAGCAAAUAUUCUAAAGUUGGAAUGAUAGUGAGAAGAUCAGAAUGACCCCUGCAACAGAAUGACAUACAAAUUGUCGAAGUGUUCUAUAUUUUU